GGUCAAGCGAACAAGGGCGCAGGGCGAAUGCCUUGGCACUGGGAGCCGAUGAAAGACGUGAUAAGCUGCGAUAAGCUUCGGGGAGCUGCAAAUAAGCAUUGAUCCGGAGAUUUCUGAAUGAGGAAACUCACCUGGGUUCAUACUCAGGUACAAUGCACUGAAAUUCAAAAUAGGUGCAUUGAGGGAACCGCCUGAACUGAAACAUCUAAGUAGGGCGAGGAAGAGACAUCAAACGAGAUUCCGUAAGUAGUGGCGAGCGAACGCGGAAGAGGGCAAACCGAGAGUAGAAAUACUUUCGGGGUACGGACUGCUUUUAAGACUCAAUCUGUUAACCGAACGGCAUGGGAAGGCCGGUCAGAGAGUGUGAGAACCACGUAGGUGAAAACGGAGAGAGCUGCGCAGGAUCCAGAGUACGGCCAGACACGUGAAACCUGGUCGGAAUACGGGGGGACCACCCUCCAACCCUAAAUACUACCCAGUGACCGAUAGCGUAUAGUACUGUGAAGGAAAGGUGAAAAGCACCCCGGGAGGGGAGUGAAAAAGAACCUGAAACCCUGUGCCUACAAGCACCUAGAGCGCGUCAAAGCGUGAUAGGGUACUUUUUGUAGAACGGUCCGGCGAGCGAUUGUAUGCAGCAAGGUUAAGGACUUAAGGUCUGGAGCCGAAGCGAAAGCGAGUUUGAAAAGGGCGUUAAGUUGCAUAUAAUGGGCCCGAAACCGGGUGACCUACCCAUGGUCAGGUUGAAGUGGAAGUAAAAUUCCAUGGAGGACCGAACCGACCUCCGUUGAAAAGGCGGCGGAUGAACUGUGGGUAGCGGAGAAAUUCCAAUCGAACCCGGAGAUAGCUGGUUCUCCCCGAAAUAGUUUUAGGACUAGCCUCAAGUUAGAUACCUGGAGGUAAAGCACUGAAUAGCCUAGCGGCCGAGAGGUUAGCGAAGCUUAUCAAACUCAGAAUGCCAGAGUAUUGAUGCUUGGGAGUCAGACAGUGUCAGAUAAAUGUCAUUGUCAAAAGGGAAACAGCCCAGAUCUACAGCUAAGGUCCCAAAGUCAGGUUAAGUGGAAAACGAUGUGAAGAUACGCAGACAACCAGGAUGUUGGCUCAGAAGCAGCCACUCAUUCAAAGAGUGCGUAAUAGCUCACUGGUCGAGCGUCUUUGCGCGGAGAAUUUAACGGGGCUAAACCUGACACCGAAGCUUAGGCAAUACAGCAAUGUAUUGGGUAGGGGAGCGUUGUAUACGCGGAGAAACAGUAGCGCAAGCGGCUGUGGAGUGUAUAGAAGUGAGAAUGCCGGAAUGAGUAGCGCGAAUGCAGUGAGAAUCUGCAUGGCCGAAAGCCUCAGGUUUCUGGAGGAAGGUUCGUCCGCUCCAGGUUAGUCGGGAGCUAAGGUGAGGCCGAAAGGCGUAGCCGAUGCACAGACGGUAGAGAUUCCGUCACCACCAAAAGAGUUAAGCACAGGGACACAUAUGAAGUCUCAGAGCCGGGUGUUGGUUCCGGUAGAGAUCGAGGGAAAUUAGUACCGAAGUCUGAGAUGGAAGAUGGCGAGAAAAGCUGUGUGUAUUUCUGAGGUGCCCGUACCGCAAACCGACACAGGUAGGUAGGAAGAAGAUUCUAAGGCCAACGGGAGAAGGGUUGUUAAGGAACUCGGCAAAUUGACCCCGUAACUUCGGGAGAAGGGGUGCUCCAGAGAUGGAGCCGCAGAGAAUCGGCCCAAGCAACUGUUUACCAAAAACACAGGUUUGUGCUAAAUCGAAAGAUGACGUAUACGAGCUGACGCCUGCCCGGUGCUGGAAGGUUAAGAGGAGAUGUGCAAGCAUUGAAUCGAAGCCCCAGUGAACGGCGGCCGUAACUAUAACGGUCCUAAGGUAGCGAAAUUCCUUGUCAGGUAAGUUCUGACCCGCAUGAAAGGCGUAAUGAUUUGGGCACUGUCUCAACAGCCCGCCCGGCGAAAUUGUAGUACCGGUGAAGAUGCCGGUUACCCGCGACAAGACGGAAAGACCCCAUGGAGCUUUACUGUAGCCUAAUAUUGGGUUUCGAUGUUGCAUGCACAGGAUAGAUGGGACUCUUGGAAACCAAGGCUUUGGCUUUGGCGGAGAGGCCGUUGGGAUACCAUCCUUGCGAUAUUGGAAUUCUAACCUGCGGCUCUGAAUCGAGUCGGGGGACAUUGUUAGGUGGGCAGUUUGACUGGGGCGGUCGCCUCCUAAAGAGUAACGGAGGCGUUCAAAGGUUCGCUCAGCUUGAACGGAAAUCAAGCAAAAGAGUGCAAACGCAGAAGCGAGCCUAACUGCGAGACUGACGGGUCGAGCAGUAACGAAAGUUGGAGUUAGUGAUCCGGUGGUAUGUGAGUGGAAAUGCCAUCGCUCAACGGAUAAAAGUUACCCUGGGGAUAACAGGCUGAUCUCCCCCAAGAGUCCACAUCGACGGGGAGGUUUGGCACCUCGAUGUCGGCUCAUCGCAUCCUGGGGCUGUAUUCGGUCCCAAGGGUUUGGCUGUUCGCCAAUUAAAGCGGUACGCGAGCUGGGUUCAGAACGUCGUGAGACAGUUCGGUCCCUAUCUGUCGUGGGCGCAGGAUAUUUGAUGGGAGCUGUCCCUAGUACGAGAGGACCGGGACGGACGUACCUCUGGCGCACCAGUUGUUCCGCCAGGAGCAUAGCUGGGCAACUACGUACGGAUCGGAUAAACGCUGAAAGCAUCUAAGCGUGAAGCCGACCCAAAGAUAAGAUAUCCCACUGAUUGAAUCAGGUAAGAUCCCUUGUAGACUACGAGGUUGAUAGGCACGAUGUGUAAGUGGAGUGAUCCAUUCAGCAAGUGUGUACUAAUAGAUCGAGGGCUUGACCAC
rnacentral:rRNA from 1 species